GACGUAGGGCGCGAGCGUUAUCCGGAAUCAUUGGGUUUAAAGGGUCCGUAGGCGGUUUAGUAAGUCAGUGGUGAAAGCCCAUCGCUCAACGGUGGAACGGCCAUUGAUACUGCUAGACUUGAAUUAUUAGGAAGUAACUAGAAUAUGUAGUGUAGCGGUGAAAUGCUUAGAGAUUACAUGGAAUACCAAUUGCGAAGGCAGGUUACUACUAAUGGAUUGACGCUGAUGGACGAAAGCGUGGGUAGCGAACAGG
rnacentral:rRNA from 1 species